ensembl:lncRNA
GCUGUAGCGUCUGUGUCUCUCUGCUGGACUUUACUGUCUGUCUGCCUCCUACUCGUCUCUGCAGACCAGAAAAACAUCACAGCUGUGUCUGGACAGGACAUCACUCUACCAUGUCAAGCUCCAAACAACAAAACCAUCAAAGGCGUUGAGUGGAUCCAACCUGAACUGGAGCAAGAACGUGUCCUUUUUCACUGGGAUGAAAAAGUUAUUCCAAGCAACCAGCAUCCAUCUUUUAAGAACCGGGUGCAUCUGCAAGACAGACAGAUGAAGGAUGGAGACGUGUCUUUGAUUCUGAAGGAUGUGACAGUUAAUGACACUGGAACAUACGAGUGUCGUGUCCUUGUGAGGGGAGGGAACCGCAGGAAGAGAGCUAAUCUGGGUGGUGAACCCAUCAGCAUCAUCUACCUUCAUGUUGUUGAUCCUCCAGGUCAGACAGGAGGACACACAAAGGAUAGAGGGAAGAUGGUUGGAGGUGUUGCUCUGCAAGUUUUUGUUGUACUUCUUGUUGUUGUUAGCUUUGUGAUUUUACUAGAAUACAAAAAAAGACGAAAGCGCCAAAAGCGACCACGUCGUUUUUGAACAGCAAAAGGAAGGACUGAAGCCAAAGACAGACACAUGUAAAACUAAAUGAGGACGUGGAAACAUAAACAUGAUACAUAAACCAAAAAGUUACGACUGUGGCUUGAACACGUAACUUCCAGAACCAGAACUUAGAAUAAAAACAGAGUCAGGAACUGUGACAAUUACUGUCACAGUUGUUUCCUAUUCUUCUCAACAAUUUUAUUAAAAAUUUUCGCCCACAUUCCUGUUUUAUUUCCAUGUGGGUUAAGUUGUUAUGUAGACCAAGGUCAUUUAAAUUAAUGAAGAUGAGCUAAAUCCUCUGCUCUGUUUGGUGAUUGUUUUAAAGCUUAGUGUGAAUGUUUUUGUGGGUUUUUAUUUGCUGUGUUUGUCAUGUACUUUUGUUUUUGUUCGUAUUUUAUUUAUUGCUUUAUACAAUAAAAUGUUUUACUGUGAGAA